GCGCUCCAUUGUUGGGCAGCUUAUGCUCCCGCGUGGACAGCUCUGUUUCGCCUUCCGGUCCCCGUAGCUCUUCUGGGGAACAGGAUCGCUGGCGCCUCCUGGGCCGAUAAACGACCCGGGGCUGCCCGGCCCAGCGAAUGUUUCGCACGACCGCCCAGUGACAGGUAGUCGAGUCGAGGCAGCGCGGUUCCCAAGGCAGCCACGGCUGCGCCCACCCUCCAGUUCGAAACUCCGGGCAGUCGCGGUUGCUUUCAGUCUCUGCCCGUUGAGACAAAAGAGCGUGACAAGACGCUCGACGCGGCCAAUCACCGGAGCGAGGGGGCUGACUCCCCGCGGAUCCUCUGGCCCCGAAGCUACUGCUAGCACGACUCGAGAGCUGGCGGACCGAGGCUGAAGCAGACAGGCGCGGGAGCCGGCGCGGCGUCAAGUGCAGCUCGGACGCACGGACCAGGCCCAUUUCCCUUUCAUCUCUAAACGGUAAGAGGCAGAGGGGCCUUCCCAGUGUACUGGCCAUGAGCGUUAAGGAGGCUGAGGCUUAAGGCCAUCAUGGAAUACGGAGGACGGGGAGGUGGUGAUGGGCCAAGCGCAGGAGGCUGAGCCUCCAUAUCUCUCCACCAAGAGCUCUCCAUCUGCACCAGUCUAGAUCACCGUCUGAGGCCCAGCUCAAACAGCACGUAUUGUUUGAAGACUUCCAGAAUCUUCCAAGUCACAAUGAAUUUCCCCUUCUCCCACAGCACUUUGUUCAUACCUUUAUUAUAAUACAUAAUAUUUCUUUCUUUUAUUUUUUUGAGACGGAGCCUUGCUCUGUUACCCAGGCUGGAGUGCAGUGGCGUGAUCUUGCCUCCCUGGGUUCAAGCAGUUCUCCUGCCUCAGCUUCCGAGUAGCUGGGACUACAGGCAUGCACCACCAUGCCCCACUGGUUUUUGUAUUUUUAGUAAAGAUGAGGUUUCGCCAUGUUGGCCAGGCUGGUCUUGAACUCCUGACCUCAGGAGAUCUGCCAGCCUCGGCCUCCCAGAGCAAUGGGAUUACAGGCAUGAGCCACUGAGCCCAGUCAAUAUGACUUUCUUAACAGAAAUAUUUUGUGGCUGUGUCUGUUUUCUUCACAUUUUAUAAAUUCCUUGAGAGCAGGCACUUUAUUUAUGAUUGUAUACCUCUUUUCAUUUCACAACUGAUACAUAGUAGAUGCUUGUCUUAGUCCAUUUUGUGUUGCUAUAAGUGAAUACCUGAAACUGGGCAAUUUACAAAGAAAAGAGGUUUAUUUAACCCAUGGUUCUGCAGGCUGGGAAGUUUAAGAUUAGGCAGCUGCAUCUGGUAGCUUCUGAUGCGGGCCUUGUACUGUGGCAAAACAUGGCAGAGAAAUGCAAGGGAAACCAGGUCCCUGCAAAGAGAGUAAAACACCAAACAUGAGACGCAACCUCACUUUACAACAACUUGCACUUGCAUAACCAAUCCAGUCCCACAAAGAGUAAGAACUGACUCACUCCCACCAGACUGCUUUAAUCCCUUCAUGAGAGUGAAUCCCUAGUGACCCAGAAGGCUGUUAAAGAUUCCACCCCCUCUCAACACUGUUACAUUGGGGACCAAGUCUCAAUAUCAGUUUUGGUGGGCACAAACCAUAUUCAAAUCAUAACAAUGCUCAAUACAUGUUAGUUGAAUUAAAUGUUUCAUUAGGAGAAUAUAGACAUGAAUAAAGCAUGGUUUCUGCUCUCAAGAGAAGCCAACAUUCUAUCAAGGGAAACAGUACAUUAUUCCACAUGAGAAGCUAUACUAGUGACAUGUAUAAAGCAUGAGGAAUUCAGUGAUCAAUUAGAAAAUGCAAUAGGAAAAAUAACCCAUUCGUGAUAUUCCCAACAUCUGUAAGGCAGCUAGGAAGACAGCUAACAAAGAUGUAUAAACCAUUAUGCAGAAAAGUAUGAGAUUGUACUAAAGAAAAUUUAAUAAAAAUCGGAAAGUGGAGGAAUAUACUUGUCAAGAACUACAAAAGGUAUAGAAUUUGAUCCUAUUUACAAAGUUACAAAUUAACCUGACACACACAGUUUCAUGUAUUCUGUCAGAAGACAUGAGAAUCUUGCGUGAGAGGCAAAGGACUUUAUUACUCAGAAAAAGCAGUAGCUAGAACUUCCUGUUGGCUUGUGUUCGUUCCCAAUGCCCCCUAAAUCCCACAAGGGCAAUGCAAAGGACCAAUGAUGGAUGGCUGCACAGUGGGUUGCAUUACAGGAAAGAAACAAUACAUUUGGAGGAUCCACCGCUUUUAUAGAAAAUGGAAAUAAGCCUGCUGUUUGUGAUGUUUCCCCAUCCUUCAGGGUUUCUCACUGAAAACAUGGUCUUGAGAAUGGCCAAGGUGAAGAGUCAUCAGUGCCUUACAUUUUUGGCAUAAUCAGCAAGAAUAUGCAUGAAUGCUUAGGGGCCAUGAUGGGUUGUCUUUCCCAAGAAUACUCCAUUUGUAUGUGUGGAGACUUUAAGUCAGCAAAUUGGUAAUUCUUCUCAAAUUGGUCCAUAAAUCCAAUAUUAUUCCAAUCAAAAUAUUAACAGGUCAUUUUUUUUGUGGAAUUUGAAACACUGAUUACAAAAUUGGAAAAGGCACAUAUAGUAAAUUGUUAUAUGAAAGAAGUGACAUUGCAAAGGAGUGAAAAAACGAUGAAUAAUUUAAUAAAUGUGAUUGGGACAGUUGUUUCCCUUCUCAGAGAAAAAUCUAGAUCCAUGCCUUAUACAAAAUAAAGUCUAGAUGUAUAAAAGUCCAAAGUACAAAAUUGAAAUCUUAAAACCAAUAAAAAAUCAUGUCCUCAGAAUAAUUUCCUAAACAAAAUCCCAAAACACAAGUUUUAAAGGAAAAGAUUGAUAUAUAUUUGAUUCCACAAACAUCGUAUAAUGAAAAAAAUGAGAAAUAACGAUAGUGUUAAAAGACGAGCAAUGAUUGGUACAGGAUUUUUGGAAAGCUAGUUGGCUCUAUCUACUGAAGCUGAACCUAUGCAUUCCCUAUGACCAGCAACUCCACUUCUUGGUGUAUACCCAAGAAAAAUGCAUAUGCAUAUUCACUAAUGACAUUAUGAAUAUGCUCAUACAGCAUUAUUUGUAAUAGCCUCACACUAAAAAAAAAAACCCGUGUCCACAAACAGUAGAAUGAAUAAAUAAAUUGUAGUAUAUUCAUACAUUAAAAUGUAGCACAUAAUGGAGAAUUAACUACAAAUUCACGACAACAUGGAUGAAUCUCACAAACCUAAUGUUGAGCAAAAGAAUCCAGACACAGAGGAGUAUAUACUGAAAUAUCCCAUUUAUUUAAAGCAGAAAAGAGGCAGAACUAAUAGUCAGGAGAGUGGUUAUCAUCCUUGGGCAUAGUGACUGGAAAGGGGCACAAAAGAAGCUUGUGGCAGGGCAGGGGGAGGUUGGUAAUGUACUGUGUCUUGAUCUGAGAGCUGGUUAUAUGGGUGUCUUUACUUUGUGAUCAUUUAUCAAGAUGUACACCUAAGAUAUGUAUGUAUGUCUAUUGUACUUGAAUAAAACAUUUUGAAAAUCUGC